GGAGUGGGGGGGGUCCGAAAGAAAUGGAAAAUUGGAAAAUGAAAUUUUGGGAGUUAAAGUAGGUUUUGUCAAGAAAAGGGGUUUGAAAAGAAAGUCACAGGGGUGUUAAUAGUCUUCCUCUAACUGUAUAAUUAUGUUCACAAACUCUGGGGUCGUACAAUGACAUGAAAGGAGUGUAAAACGCAAUAUUGUUUAUAAUUGCUUGGGCUUAUUCAGUUCAAAACUUUGAAGCCUGGCCAUGUACGCUCUAGCUUGGUCAGUUGAUCCAAUAGUUGGGGGACGAAACGGAUGGCGAGUGAAAUUUAUUUAUUAUUUUUGGGUACCAAAUUCUUUUGAUUUUUGAAAGGAUAAUGUUCGUUCAUUCUUGUAUUUUAAGCUAAGUACUCGUUUUUAUAUAUUUUAAAAAAUAUUUUGAUGCACUUUUGUUAUUAAAUAUGUUACAUUUUUGUCCUUACUUUUUCUUUACUUUUUAACAAUCUAGAAACAAUAUUCUUGAUAUUAAUUAAUUUAU
rnacentral:lncRNA from 1 species